UAUUUGCAGAAAGGAAUUGGUGAAAAUUGGGCCGCUGCCUUGGAACAUAACCCUGAAGCUUUUGCAAGGGUGGUUAUGUUGUAUGUGGACAUGGAGGUUAAUGGUUUCCCAUUAAAGGCAUUUGUUGACAGUGGAGCCCAAUCAACAAUAAUAUCAAAAAGUUGUGCUGAGCGUUGUGGGUAUGUACUGUUUUAUAUCUGAUUGCCUGUUGUUUAAUUCAGUCGGUGGUAAUAUCAUUUUUCAUUUUACUUGCUAUUUGACAUGGUUUAAUAACUUAGAAUA